rnacentral:rRNA from 1 species
AUGGAGGCUAUGGUCUAUGAGAUUGGUAACGGGUCCACUAUCUUCUUCUGGUUUGAUGCUUGGCUGGAAUGUGGGAGACUUAUGAUCACCUCCCCGGUGCUUUUCUCUUUUGCGAGACACAAAUAUUGCACGGUUGCAUCACAAUUCAGGGAUGGGCAAUGGGACCUCCAUUUGCACCCGGACCUCUCCGCCACUGCAGCCAGGGAGUGUGAGGCACUACUUAUGUUAUCUCAACCGGACAAGGGAGAUGCUCGACGCCCAGCCUGUACUAGUAACCAGCUAUCCACUGCCUACUUCUACAGCUUGCUUUAUUUCACCGGUGUGGAGUGUCUGGUGGCUCUUUAUGUCUAG